UUCACAAGAGGAAACCAAGUGGUGGAUGGAA
rnacentral:piRNA from 1 species